UUGUGUCCCAGAUGGAGCUGACCAGC
rnacentral:piRNA from 1 species